AUACUGGGACCGUGACCGGGUCACGGGACCGACCGGACGGGUCAACGACACUGCCUAAAAUACUGGGUCAGGAGUAGCUCAACAGAGAGGGAAGAGAAACUAACGCCCUUAAAUUUUGAACAACUUCCCCCCUUCCCGGUUCGGCGGUUCCCACGAAUAAGGACUCCAGGUCCAGGGACAGGGAGGGGGAGAACACAGAGAGAGAUGUCACGUCGGCGGCUGCUUCUGUUGUUGAAGCCAUUCAAUGUCUACCCAUCCAGAUACAAGGAUGAACUAUCUCGCCCCAUAAACCCUCAGAUUUUAGGUUAUCUGGAGAAUAGGUGUAAGGUUCAUAAGGAUGCCAUAAACAUUUGUCAAGAUAUUCUGCAGCGCAAGUCAGUUGAUUGGAAGCCCAUUUUACGUAAUGAUCUUGUGCAACCAAUCCACAAUGUUGAUCUGGUUGUUACUGUUGGUGGUGAUGGCACACUUUUGCAGGCCAGUCAUUUCAUGGAUGACUCAAUUCCUGUUCUAGGGGUGAACUCUGAUCCCACACAAGUCGAAGAGGUGGAAGAGUUCAGUGACGAGUUUGAUGCUAGAAGGAGCACUGGCUAUCUUUGUGCAGCAACUGUCAAAAACUUUGAACAAGUUUUAGAUGAGAUCCUGGGUGGUCACAAGACUCCUGCUAAAUUAUCAAGGAUAUCAGUUUGUGUAAACAGUCAUCUUCUACCAACUUAUGCCCUGAAUGACAUUCUAAUUGCACACCCAUGUCCAGCAGCAGUUUCUCGGUUCUCAUUUAGAAUCAAAAGGGAUGACCAAGAAUGUACCCCUUUGGUGAACUGCCGAUCAAGUGGUUUGAGAGUCUCCUCUGCUGCUGGAUCAACUGCUGCCAUGCUCUCUGCAGGAGGAUUUCCAAUGCCUGUUGCAUCACAGAAACUCCAAUAUAUGCUGAUGUGGCAAACUGUAGUUCUGAUCCAAUGCACCCCGGACUAUCCAAAAGACAAAAACCGUCCACCCAAUAACCCUAAGCAGUCUAAGUGCUUAUGAGAGGAGAAUACAGUCGCCAUCAUCUACUUGCACAGACUCCUUAUUCACACACUGUUGUAAACGCUGUGACAUGAUUUCCAGUGACAAGGACAGUGCGGCAAACAAUGAAGAUGGUUAUUGGCUGCAGUGGUGAUGGGGAGGUCUCUUUUAGCUUUUGGGUUGAAGCCUAAAGAAAAGAUGAUAAAUUUUAGGGAGAAUGACUGUUCAGCCUAGGGUUAGAAUUUUUAGGCCCAAAGUACAAUUCGGGUAGGUUCCAGCUCGAAAAUGAUGCCAAUUCAUGGGCGGGUAUUAAUGUAUAGAGUGGGGUUUGACAUUUUGAAUGCUUAUAGUUUUAUAGUGGGAUUCUGAAAUCUGCAAUGGGCCUGUUAGUACU